UGUCACCACCGUAAGAACAUUACACAAUUAGAAUCAUACUGGAUGUGACCUUGGAGGCUGGCUUUUUCACUCUGCGUUUCAUCUGCCCAGGUUGCUGCAUGUAUCAAAGAUAAGAUCCCCAGACCGAAGACAGCCAUGUAACAGCAGAGGCAGACGCUGGAACGUUGUGACUGCCAUCCAGGAAACACCACCGUGUGCUUGCACCCACCAGAGAGACAGCAUGGAGCCACUAACACCUUGACUUUGGGCUUCUGGCCUCCAACGCGGAGAUAGUAGCUUUUUCCCUGAAGCCCUGCCGCUCAUGGUGCUUUGCUAUGUGGCAGCCCUGGGACAUGCGUACAUUUUGCAACAUAGUAACAACAAAAUUAGGGGUGUUCCUCAGUACAUUUUUUAUUGCCCUGCGUCAACCACAUAGAAAAGUACACAGACCAGAGAACGUGCAUCUUCUCUGGUCAAGUGUUUCUUGGGAUCUGUUGCCUGUUUGUUAAUUGGAUGUCUGUUUUCUUAUCGUCAAGUCUCGAGCAUUCUUUACAUAUUCUCAGUGCAAGCUUUUGUCAGAUAAGUGAUUUGUAAAUAUUUUCUCCCGAACUAGAGCUUGUCAUUUUGCCUCUUACUGUUGUCUUUCAGGGAACACGGCUGUCAUUUUUGAUGAUGUUCCGUGAUCGACUGUUGUUAAUAAACUGUGGGAUUUCAAAGCUGCACUGGACAGCCUCUCUAGCCUGGAAUCCGGAAUAAAGAAGCCAUGGAAUGGAUCCCGAGCCAAGCUGUAAAGGGCAUGGAUUGCGAACAAGAGAUAAACGUUUGUUUUUGAAAGCCA